UUCACGUAAUUCCAUAGGAAUCACAUUCCAAACUCUAGCUCCCGUAUUUGCGAAAAAUCUUUUUUGUAAAUCAAAACCUGUAUACUUGACAUGAAAAAUUUUCAUUGAAGAAGAUCGAGUGUUAUAUUCGUGUAUCUUUUCAACAGAAGUAAACAUCGCGAAAAUAUUUGGAGGGACAUUUGAUUUUGAUAUGUCGUACAUUAGCAUUGAUAUCGAUUUAAUAUAAAGCAAGUUUAUUGGUAAAAUACUUGCAGAUUGAAAGAGGGGGAUUGCGUGAGACCGAUAAUGUGCAGAGUAUAUUAGUCGAAUAGCACGUUUUUGAAGUUUAAGAAGUUUAAAAACAUCUAGAAUCGUGUCCAAAUCCAACGAAACUGCAACAUAACCCGAGCUGUGGGCAGUAAUAUACGCCUAUAUUUCCUAAAAUCCCACGGUAACUGGUCGUUUCGUCCCCUUGCCGUUUCGUCCCCUUGCCGUUUCGUCCCAAGUUUUUUACGUCCCCGGUCGUUUCAUCCCCUUGCCGUUGCGUCCCCUUCACGUUUCCUCCCUACACUAGAUACCAUUUUAUCUAUAACCUACUUCCUUAAUACAAUAUAUCUUAAUAAAUUUUAUAUGUCCAAAAAAUUUAAUUUCCAUCCCUUAAGGGUUUGGCUUAAUUUAGACUAGACAAUCCUGGAAAAAAAUUAGUAGACUUCUUAAAUUUUCAAACUUUGUCCCCCUCCCCCCUUAUACAAUGUUGGUAUUUAGGUGACAUGUGUUGCAAAUCCACCAUUUACCUGAACCAACAUUGUUUCGGCUUUCGGUUAAAGGUAAAUAGUUGCUUUAAUUGAAAAAUGCUCACAUUUUCAUCACAUGUUUUCAAAUUUGGGUGUAUUUUUCGAAAAGUCUACAUAUAUUUCUUCCAAGAUUGUAGCUGAAGCAGGGUUGAAAUUUCAACCCCAGGGUUGAACUCGGCCCUGGGUUGAAAAUUUUGUCAUGUUAUCGCGCGUUUGAUUUUGAUAGAGUUUUGUAUUACAGACAGGGCUGAAAUUUCAACCCGGUAAACAGGGCUGAGUUCAACCCCGGGGUUGGAAAUGUUCCAUGUAAUCGGCCCUAGCCUCCUCCGCAGGCAACCAGUGUAGUUCUGCAACGUUAUUUAACUAUAAAAUAUUUAUCAGGAACGUAGAAAAUACAAGGAAAUAGUUUUGAAAUACGAUAUGAUAUUAAUAAACAAGAAGCGUAAAUUAAAAAGGCUUGGAGCAGAAAUCCCAUUACUUCCUACAUUAUCCA